rnacentral:rRNA from 1 species
GACGAACGCUGGCGACGUGCUUAACACAUGCAAGUCGAACGAAGAGCGAUGGAAGCUUGCUUCUAUCAAUCUUAGUGGCGCACGGGUGUGUAACGCGUAAUCAACCUUCCCUUCAGAGGGGGACAACAGUUGGAAACGACUGCUUAUACCGCAUACGAUCUAAUCUCGGCAUCGAGGAAAGAUUAAAGGUUGCCUCUAUUUAUAAGCUAUCACUGAAGGAGGGGAUUGCGUCUGAUUAGCUAGUUGGAGGGGUAACGGCCCAACAAGGCGAUGAUCAGUAGCCGGACUGAGAGGAUGAACGGCCACAUUGGGACUGAGACACGGCCCAGACUCCUACGGGAGGCAGCAGUGGGGAAUCUUCCGCAAUGGACGAAAGUCUGACGGAGCAACGCCGCGUGAGUGAUGACGGCCUUCGGGUUGUAAAGCUCUGUUAAUCGGGACGAAAGGGCUUCUUGCGAACAGGUAGAAGGAUUGACGGUACCGGAAUAGAAAGCCACGGCUAACUACGUG